UAGAACUGACAUCUCGAUAAGUCGAAUGAAGGAGUAACUCCCUGAAAGGCUUCUUUAAUACUCCGAUAGGCGUAUAAAUGUAUAAGCGUUAAAGCGUCUAAUGCUCGGUGAAGUCGCGUGAGAACUGCCCUUAGAGGGAACUCUUAGGAAACCUAUCCAGUGAUGGAUGGUGUAGUCUAUAGUGCGGAAGUCUAGAAA
rfam:Desulfosporosinus sp. OT TOT.assembly.55, whole genome shotgun sequence.